AGAAGAGGCUCCCGAGAGCACCUGGUGGUCAUGAAGAAGGAUGCAAUAAGUCAUACUGAGUCAUACUCUUACAGGAUGUCAGGAAGGAGCUGGUCCAAUUUUCUUCAAGGCAAAGGAAAGCACAAAUGUGACGUUAAACACACAGAGGAGACCCCACAUCAGUGACUCACACAGAUGCUGCCAAGGAUCCAGCUGCUUCACACUGUGCAGACAAGAUGGGGGUCUGCAAGCCCGCGUGCCCCGGCAGGGCCCGAGAAGACUGCUGGAGAUUCUGUUUGCGCGUGAAGACACUGUAGGCUCCUCUGGCAGAUGCAGAAACUGUGGCUUAGAGAGGUAAGCAACAUCCUCGGUCUGAUUUUUGUGUCUGUACUCCUCACAUUAUA